GAUGAACGCUGGCGGCGUGCUUAACACAUGCAAGUCGAACGGGAUCCAAGGGGUGCUUGCACUUUUUGGUGAGAGUGGCGAACGGGUGAGUAACACGUGAGUAACCUGUCCUUUUCUUUGGGAUAAGCGUUCGAAAGGGUGUUUAAUACCUUAUGUUCUGUCUGCCUCGCAUGGGGUGGGUGGGAAAGGCUUUGGCAGGAUUUGGGUGGGCUCGCGGUCUAUCAGGUUGGUGGUGGGGUGAUGGCUUACCAAGGCUUUGGCGGGUAGCCGGGCUGAGAGGGAGGUCGAUCGCAUGGGGACUCAGAUACAGCCCAGCUGCCUGCGGGAGGCAGCAGUGGGGGAUAUUGGACGAGGGGAGAAAGCCAGAUGCAGCGGCGCCGCGAGGGAGAUGAAGGCCUUCGGGGUGUAAAGUUCUUUGGCUCUAAACAAGGCAUGCCAGGGAGGGUGUUGAGGGUAGGUGUUGAUAAGCGCCGGCUAACUACGUG
rnacentral:rRNA from 1 species